rnacentral:rRNA from 1 species
GACGAAGGAUGCAAGCGUUAUCCGGAUUCAUUGGGUUUAAAAGGGAGCGUAGGUGGCCUUAUAAGUCAGUGGUGAAAUCUCUGGGCUUAACCCAGAAAUUGCCAUUGAUACUGUAGGGCUUGAGUACAGUUGCUGUGGGCGGAAUAUGACAUGUAGUGGUGAAAUACAUAGAGAUGUCAUAGAACACCGAUUGCGAAGGCAGCUCACAAAACUGUAACUGACACUGAGGCUCGAAAGUGCGGGGAUCAAACAGG